UACAGAGGUGGCAAGCGUUGUUCGGAUUUAUUGGGCGUAAAGGGUUCGUAGGCGGCUCGGAAGGUCAGAUGUGAAAUCCCACAGCUCAACUGUGGAACUGCAUUUGAAACUUCCGAGCUAGAGUAUGAGAGGGGUUAAGGGAAUUCCCGGUGUAAGGGUGAAAUCUGCAGAGAUCGGGAGGAACACCAGUCGCGAAGGCGCUUAACUGGCUCAUUACUGACGCUCAGGAACGAAAGCUAGGGGAGCAAACGGG
rnacentral:rRNA from 1 species